rnacentral:rRNA from 1 species
GACGAACGCUGGCGGCGUGCCUAAUACAUGCAAGUAGAACGCUGAAGGAGGAGCUUGCUCUUCUGGAUGAGUUGCGAACGGGUGAGUAACGCGUAGGUAACCUGCCUGGUAGCGGGGGAUAACUAUUGGAAACGAUAGCUAAUACCGCAUAACAGUAGAUGUUGCAUGACAUUUGCUUAAAAGGUGCAAUUGCACCACUACCAGAUGGACCUGCGUUGUAUUAGCUAGUUGGUGGGGUAACGGCUCACCAAGGCGACGAUACAUAGCCGACCUGAGAGGGUGAGCGGCCACACUGGGACGGAGACACGGCCCAGACUCCUACGGGAGGCAGCAGUAGGGAAUCGUCGGCAAUGGACGGAAGUCUGACCGAGCAACGCCGCGGGAGUGAAGAAGGGUGUCGGAUCGGAAAGCUCUGUUGUAAGAGAAGAACGAGUGUGAGAGUGGAAAGUUCACACUGUGACGGUAUCUUACCAGAAAGGGACGGCUAACUACGUG